AUGGCGAAUUUCCUCCGACUCCUUGCGACUACGACAACCACACCGCCCUCCACCAUUGAGAAAAAAGAAGGCCGAGAUCUGAAUAGAAAGAGGAAAGUUGUUUUACUUUUUUUUUCUUCUUUUUUCAUAUGGAGCAUAUAUGAUAAUGGUUUUAUGUUGCAUUUUUUUAGCCUACCACAUGUCUUCUAA